UUCGGCUUUGGUGUCCCAGCCGAGGCCGUGCACGAAUAUUUUGCGAUGCACUGGAUCCUCAUCGGCUAGUUUUCGGAUGAGAUCGGCUACAUCGCGGUGCUUAUGGGCUGCCUCACGCAGUAGAUCAGUGAGUUGAUCUUUUCCAAAGGGUUCGAGGAGCUUCUCAAUAGGUUCGUCGUCUUCAUCGUCCGCCUGAUUCGUUUCAGAAUUUACAGUACCUGCAUCCUGGUCUUCGCCUUCCCCUUCUUCGUCCUCCUCAUCUUCUUCCUCUUCCACUUCCUCGACUUCUUCCUCGACGUCUUCGAUGUUCUCUUGGUCUU
rnacentral:lncRNA from 1 species